rnacentral:rRNA from 1 species
UACGUAGGUGGCAAGCGUUGUCCGGAAUUAUUGGGCGUAAAGCGCGCGCAGGCGGUCCUUUAAGUCUGAUGUGAAAUCCCACGGCUCAACCGUGGAGGGUCAUUGGAAACUGGGGGACUUGAGUGCAGAAGAGGAAAGCGGAAUUCCACGUGUAGCGGUGAAAUGCGUAGAGAUGUGGAGGAACACCAGUGGCGAAGGCGGCUUUCUGGUCUGUAACUGACGCUGAGGCGCGAAAGCGUGGGGAGCAAACAGG